GACGAACGCUGGCGGCGUGCUUAACACAUGCAAGUCGAACGGAAAGGCCCUGCUUUUGUGGGGUGCUCGAGUGGCGAACGGGUGAGUAACACGUGAGUAACCUGCACUUGACUUUGGGAUAACUUCAGGAAACUGGGGCUAAUACCGGAUAGAAGCUCCUGCUGCAUGGUGGGGGUUGGAAAGUUUCGGCGGUUGGGGAUGGACUCGCGGCUUAUCAGCUUGUUGGUGGGGUAGUGGCUUACAAAGGCUUUGACGGGUAGCCGGCCUUGGAGGGUGACCGGCGACAUUGGGACUGAGAUACGGCCCAGACUGCUACGGGAGGCAGUAGGGGGGAAUAUUGCACAACGGGCGGAAGCCUGAUGCAGCAACGCCGCGUGCGUGAUGACGGGCUUCGGGUUGUAAACCGCUUUGGCCUGUGACGAAGCGUGAGUGACGGUAAUGGGUAAAGAAGCACCGGCUAACUACGUG
rnacentral:rRNA from 1 species